rnacentral:rRNA from 1 species
UACGGAGGGUGCAAGCGUUAUCCGGAUUCACUGGGUUUAAAGGGUGCGUAGGUGGGCUAGUAAGUCCGUGGUGAAAUCUCCAAGCUUAACUUGGAAACUGCCGUGGAUACUAUUAGUCUUGAAUAUUGUGGAGGUAAGCGGAAUAUGUCAUGUAGCGGUGAAAUGCUUAGAUAUGACAUAGAACACCGAUAGCGAAGGCAGCUUACUACAGGAUGAUUGACGCUGAGGCACGAAAGCGUGGGGAGCAAACAGG